rnacentral:rRNA from 1 species
UACGGAGGGGGCUAGCGUUGUUCGGAAUUACUGGGCGUAAAGCGCACGUAGGCGGCUUUGUAAGUUAGAGGUGAAAGCCCGGAGCUCAACUCCGGAAUUGCCUUUAAGACUGCAUCGCUUGAAUCAUGGAGAGGUGAGUGGAAUUCCGAGUGUAGAGGUGAAAUUAGUAGAUAUUCGGAAGAACACCAGUGGCGAAGGCGACUCACUGGACAUGUAUUGACGCUGAGGUGCGAAAGCGUGGGGAGCAAACAGG